rnacentral:rRNA from 1 species
UACGUAGGGGCCGAGCGUUGUCCGGAGUUAUUGGGCGUAAAGCGCGCGCAGGCGGCCUCGCGCGCCCGACGUGAAAGCCCCCGGCUUAACCGGGGAGGGUCGUUGGGGACGGCGGGGCUUGAGGGCGGGAGAGGGUGGUGGAAUUCCCGGUGUAGUGGUGAAAUGCGUAGAGAUCGGGAGGAACACCAGUGGCGAAGGCGGUUGCCUGGAGCUUUGCUGACGCUGAGGCGCGAAAGCGUGGGGAGCGAUCCGG